GAUGAACGCUGGCGGCGUGCCUAAUACAUGCAAGUCGAGCGAACGGACGAGAAUCUUGCUGCUCUGGUGUUAGCGGCGGGCGGGUGAGUAACACGUGGAUAACCUACCUAUAAGACUUGGCUAAAGGCGAGAAACCGUAGCUAAGACCGGAUAAUCUUUUUAACCGCAUGGGUCAAGAGUGAAAGACGGUCUGGCUGUCGCUUAGAGAUGGAUCCGCGCUGCAUUAGCUAGUUGGUAAGGUAACGGCUUACCAAGGCAACGAUGCCUAGCCGACCUGAGAGGGGGAUCGGCCACUGUGGAACUGAGCCACGGCACAGACUCCGACGGGCGGCACAGGUAGGGACUCUUCCGAACUGGGGGAAAUCCUGCAGGAGCAACGGCGGGCUAGUGCUGCAGGUCUUUGGAUCGUAAAACUCUGUUCUUAGGGUAGACCACAUGUGUAAGUAACUGUGCACAGCUUGACGGUACCUAAUCAGAAAGCAACGGCUAACUACGUG
rnacentral:rRNA from 1 species